GACCGCGUAGCUCAGUUGGAAGAGCAUUGGGCUAGUACUUCAAAGGUCGUAGGUUCGAAUCCCACCGUGGCCA